AAAACCGCGAGAAAGAAUUUUGCAAAACGAUUCUGUUGUCUGCAAAGGUUUCUGUUGUCUGCAAAGGUUUUUAUACAUCGUGUGCUGGUUCAAAAAUUAAUUUUCGAAAAAUCAUAUUUAUUUAAUUAAAUCAUAAAAAUUACUCGCUAAUAGUUCUAGAAGAAAACGAUCCCUUGUAAACAUCUCAAUACAUCUCCUUCAAGACUGGUCGCUCCAGUACGGUCAAACCUGCUAAAAUCGAAGAUGAGCAGUUCGUUGUUGUCCGGAAGUAACAGAGGUGAAUCGAAUGCUUCCAGCAGCGAGAGCUUGAGUUGUGCUCCAUAAUCGGCCAUGAAGACCCCGAAGAAUCCAUCCGCUUUGUUUGCCAAUGCUAAAUCCAAAUCAUCAGCAGCUCUGAACAGUUCAAUGACGGCAUCGUUGUUAUCCUGUGGUAUUACAUCGGUAACAUUUUAGUGGAACCUCCUAAUAUGGAGUGAAACAGACACGGUCACAUUUGGAUGGGUUUGUUCGAACAACUCCAGAAUGUUUCUCAAAAGUGUCACUAGACAGUCCGCAUGUCGGUCGACAUUCGGUCAAGUUGGACCUUUCAGCAAAAUCUUUGAAAUGUAAAGACGGGAUCAAUGUUGAAACUAGUAAUUUAAAAGUGGCGGUUCGAGUGCGUCCACUUUCUGUUAAAGAAUGUGUCGAAUCCGUGGCCAACAUUAGGUUUGUUCCAGUACCAGGAGAAACUGGAAGUACUCCGGAGAAAGUCGUUCCUGUACUCUCCUCUUAUCUUCUUUCUUCUUCUGGUAGCAAACCAGAGUAAAAGGGAACAAGAAUUUGUUGCUCCAGUUUACUCCGGAGUAGCUUCCGUGUACUGGAACAAACCUAUUGUUCGAGUGAACGAUAAUGAUGAUUGUGAAUACCAGAGAUACAGCUGACAACUCGGCUGGGGUGGAACAUUGCUUCCAGUAUGACCAUGCAUUUUGGUCGUGUAAUGCGGAGGAUCCUGCCUACGUUGGACAAAGCAGUGUAUAUAACGAUCUUAUGCAGUCACUGAUGGAUAAGGCUUUUGAGAGAUAUACACAUACACUCGUUAAUCAUACUUGUGCCAGUGGAGAACGGCUAAAGGAGGGUGUUAGCAUUAACAAAAGUUUACUAACGUUGGGACAAGUUAUUUCAUCAUUGGCGGAGCCCAAGAAAAUUGCGACGACCUACGUACCAUACCGAGAUUCUCCAAGCAAUCAUUAAUACAUAUUGGAACAGGAAUAAUAAUUAGUAAAAUAGUUACAGGGAAAUUAGUAUUCGCGGACAUUACAGUUACCAACGUUCUUUGACUUAAUAGUCGUCAUCACUGACUACAUAGCACGCGUGAUUGUAUGUCGUUUCCCGGAAUAUCGUUUUCCGGAAUGUACUAUUUUCCGGAAUACCAUUUCCCGGAACGUACUUUUUCUCGGCAAUUUGUUAUACUAUUGAAAUCUGAAGUACUUUGAGAACAUUUGCAUUUAAAACUAUGUUGCUACUCAAACAUUUGUUUGGUUCUCUUUUCUCUAUUUGAAAAACUAAUUCUCAUGCAUAUGUCAUUUUAUUUGAAAACAUUAUCAAUCAUUCGAAGGUCCAGAAAAUAACUUAUGCUAAAAAGAAGGCGAUAUUAAAUUGACGAUCUUCUUUGAAGUAGGUCGUAAUUUAAUUUAAAAUUAAUAGCGUUUCAAAAAUAUGCUACGAAAAUUUUAAAAAAGGCAAAUCCAUUUCAUUGUAUUUACUGUAUUUGAAUCAAUGAAAUUCUAAAAUUAUUUCCAUUGAUUUGUUCUUGUUCCAAAGAAUGCUAAUUCACAUAGAAAUUUUUAAUACGAAGUGAAAUUUAAAAUAACUGAAGGUGUUUUCAAUUCACUUCACAGUAUGAACAAAUAUUAUUGAGAAUAAAAAUCAAUGAAAGUCCAAGAGUAUUUUCAGAGAAACUUCAUAUAGAUUAAAAUAACAUUCUACACAAAAUUCCAAAGGAGAAUGCAUAUUUAUAAGAAGGCCGGCAAUCUAUAAAAUUUCAAAGGCUCCAGUAAUAUUUAUGACUAAAUUUUAGGAAAUGUUUGUAUUGUUUCAUUACCUUUUUUCUAAUCUUUAUGAAAAUCAAUCAACGUAUUCAGGGCAUUUUAGAGUACUGUGAUUGCUUAUCAUAAAAAUGUUGCCAACGUUGUGGAAAACACUGCCUUUUCAAUUUCAAAAAUGGCCGCAUUUCGAGGCGUUCUUAAUAGAGCACUCUAGUUAGAGUGUGGCCAAGAGGCCAUGACGUAUCCAAACGAACAUGAAAUUUGACGUAUUUCUAUUGUGUAUACCUCAAAUUCCAUGUUCGUUUAGAUACGUCAUGGCCUCUUGGCCACACUCUAACUAGAGUGCUCUAGUUCUAAAUUGAUCAUUACGAAUUUACACUAUCUCCUGUAAUGUUUGACCUAGUGUCAAAAACUAAAGUUUUUUCGAUUCCUUAGAACGAUAGGAAGUGUCUUACGUAGGAUUUUUUUUUCGCUAUUUUAAUUUCACGCGAAACGCUGAAAAUAUCAUCUUUCAACUUCAUUGCUUUCGUUUCUCUUAGUCUUAAAUUUGCUGAAAUGGGUCAAGAAAAUCGAUACAGACAUCAUUUAUUAACUAAAAUCCUUCGUACGUUGCUGGAGAAAAUAAUUUAGAAUAUGCUGUGAAUAUUUCAAAGCUCGUGGUUUGAAGUGGAUUUGAAAAAAAAACUCGUUUGAAGUUUUUAGUACGCUUGGAGUUUAGCUAGCUAAAAACGAUAGGACACAAUUAAUAAUAUAUACAAUUAGGUAUUCUGUUCGCCUUUCAUUUUCUGUUAUAUCAUUUUAUUUCAAUAACAAAAUUUCCAAAUCUUAAAAAUUCUACAGUAGUGUAUUAUGCUUUUCACCGAAAAUUACCACGCGAAGAAAUCGAUCCAAAAUAGUAAAAGAAAUGAAAAUAUACCAUUUUAACUGAAUCCGCAAAAUUUGGAACAAAUAUGAGGCAAAAUAUAGGGCCUGCUAGUCAUGAAUUAGACGGUCAUGAAUUUAUGGAAUUUAUUCACCCCUUCACUACCUGCGGUGGGAAAAAUGGAAAGUAUUUGUUUCUAUUUUGGUACCCAUUUCAUUCAUUGACAUCCCAUCCAUUUGGGUGCUUUUUAUUCCCCACUCGAUUUUUUUUAAAUCCUCCCAAGUUUCUUUUUGGUUCAAAACCAAAAGUCAUACGCUGUUCAUAUAAUGAUUAAUUUAAAUAAAUUUUCCUAACAUCGCGGAAUCGAAAAUAUUAAAUCUUUAAAAUGACAGUUUUGCAAUCUUGUCGCUAUCUUGUUUUUUACCACAAUAACCACUCAAGAUCAAAAAAAAAAUUGAAAAUAUUUUCAAAGAACUAUUAAUGUAGUUAGGUAGCUGCAUAGCAGGUCUUCUAAAAAUAUGUUUGGUCGGUGAGGUACGAGUUUUUUUUUUAUUUUCCGGGAAAUGGUAUUCCGAGAAAUGGUUUUUACGGGAAAUGAUACAUUCCGGGAAAUAGUUUUCCGGGAAAUGAUAUUCCGGGAUAUGGUACAUUCUGGGAAAUAGUUUUCCGGGAAGUGGUAUUCCGGGGAAUAGUAUUCCGGGAAAUGACGUACAACCAGCACGUGUUGUUAGAAGCAUGAUAGGGGAAAGUGAGGCAAUAGGAGCACCCUAAGGUUGAAGGCAAAUAUAUCUGCACCAAAACAUACAAAUAAUCCUCUAUUGGUAGAAUACAACAUAUUCUUCACAUGCAGUUAUUACACGUGCUGAAGAAAAUUCAAAAUCUUUGAAAAUAAUCGUUGCUUGUAAUGAUCGAUUUUUGGCUUGGUAAAAACCUUGUGGGGAAAUAUGGGCAAUCUUAAGGGGCAAUAUGAUCAUGUCGCAAAAGAUUAUAUUUUAUCACAAAAUUUAAAAAUUAUUUCACUUAUAAUUAAUAAGAAUAAUAUUUUCCAUUAAUUUAGUGACAUUUAGUUGCCAAUGAAAUCUUAUAGUUUUAAACAGCAUUUUCGGAACUAUUAGGCACAAAUUUCAAUUUUGUUUUAAUAAUAUCACAUACCAGCUAACAAUCAACAUCGCAACGGCUUGCGAACAGUUUCUCCUCUGGCCAAUCAAACGCGAAAUGGUAAAUGUUUUUGUCUUCAAUUGUAUGGUGUGGAAUAUGAGUUUAACUGUUAAUGAGAAGCUCUAGUAAUAGCGGGUUCGGCCGCUUGUCAUCAUUCCCAAUGAUGUCAAUUUACUAUUUUGUUCAUUAUCGAAACCCAGUCAGAUAUUGUUUGUUUGACAUUUGAACCAUUAACACAAUCAAUGAUGAUCAUAAUCAUGUACAAUAUCACAUACGGCUACAGUAAUGGAUAUUGUUUCACUAUAAUUUUAGCCAUCAAAACAUCAAAAAUUACAUAUUUGAUUCACGAUCCGAGCGCGAUCAUCCAAAAACACACGCGAAAGGCACACGGUUUUUAAACAGAAUUCAUACACGCGAGGUUACACACGCGAAGUCUCUAUGCCCGCAGAUGGCUGUACCAACGAAUCAACCAACGUUGACUGAACCGUACAAUGAAUAUUACAUUUAGAAUCACGACCCGCUGCAAUUGGUCUUAAGCUGUGUUUUAGUGGGCGACAUUGCCUGUCUCGUCUGCAAUUGUAGUGUGUGAUUCUGAUGGGGAGCCCUUCCGAGAACCUAUCUCUACAGAUCCAGUAGGACAACUCUAAAAAAAUAAAUAAAUAAUUGAUCACUUUUGACUUGUUAUUUCCAAAUAUUAGUCAUGUUCACUAUAUUUUAUGGGGUUAUGCAUAGCGAAUAAAAUAAGAUUUGCUGAUUUUUUUUCUAUCAUGUCAUCUCAUUUUACAUAUUCUUAUACAAUUAAUGUUAUUGUAACAUUUAUGAUGCUACAACAAUUGAAAAUAAAAGCUUUUAAAGUUUUCAUUUUUGCACGGUUCCAGUCUUGACAACUGAAAAAAAAUAUUGUUGCCAAAAACGGAAUCCUACUGAAUUCAAAUUUUUAAUUGUGAAGAAAGACGCAAUCAGACAUAGUUCACCUCAGAAAAUCUGAUCGACCUCGGACGGACAAAAGGAUCGUAAACAGUAACAAUAAUUUAAAUUGUUUCCUUUUUUCAGUAUGAUGGCAUCAAAUUCAGCGCACGAACCAGUGCGAAGUGCAAGAACCAUCACUUAGAAUGAAACGAUCAUUUGACCAACAAAAUGCUCCGUUACAGCAUGAGCGCUCUCGCGGGCCAUAUUCUAGAUUCGCUGGAAUAUGAUCAAAUGGCCCCAAAAUUAGUUUUGAUCAACUUGUUAAGCCUAGCAAUGUUUCUUGAACCAUGAUAAAGUUAGCUUGAAAAAUCACUCUCUGCAACCAUGUUCACGGAACUGGCCAAAUGAUCUCCAAAAUAGUUGUUUUCCUAAAAUCAUGUAUUAUUAUUAAAAUUAAUUAAAAUAUAGCUAGCAUUAAUGUUAAA